GGUUGCUCCCACACUGCUCAGGGUUCCAACAAAUGUGAUCUUGAACAGCUCCAGGAAUGAGCUACUCACUUCUCUGAGCAGCCUGUGCCAAUGCCUCUCAGUAAAGAAUUUCUUCCUAAGAUCAAGCCUUAAUAACUUAAAUCUUCCAUCUUUUGGUUUAAAGACAAAUCCUCUUGCCCUAUCACUAUCUGCCCAUGUAAAAAGACAGUUCCUCUCCUGAUUAUAAAAUCCCUUCACAUACUGGAAGUCCACAGUGAGGUCACCCUAGAGCUUUUCCAUCUCCAAGUCCAGCUGCCUCAAACUUAAGUUAAAAGGGAAAGGGGAAGAAAGAGAGAAAGAGAGAAAGAGAGAAAGAGAAAGAAGGAAGGAAGAAAGGAAAGAAGGGAGAGAGGGAGUUUCCUGCUGUCUAUAGAAUAUUAAUAUCUUCUUAAACAAGAUUAUUACCUGAGGUUGUGAAAACACUUCUCUAUUAUCCUAGCAGGACACAAGUUUAAGUCUUAAACAGACUAACAGAAUCAUGAAUACAAAGUUCUUGGUGAUAAUAGGGAUUAGAAUUCAUGUAAGAUGCUUAUUAUAUUCGCAUUGUUUGACAACAUCCACAACACAGAAGACAUGAAAUAUUUUAUGAAACUCUCUGAAUGUGAGUGUUUAAUAACUGCUGGUCUACUUAAAGUGUUUAAUAACUGCUGGUUUUUAGGUUAUGAAAAAGUUAUAUACAACGUAGGAAUUUGUCAUGGAAAAUACAUUGUUGGAACACAAAAUAAUUGUGUUAUAUACAAUUAAGCUGAGCAGCACCUGGUGAUACAUUCACACUGACAAAAAAAUAAUACUAUUCAACGUUUUAUUACAUAUUCAUAGAAAAUAAGCAGGAGACAAACAAGCUUAAUCAUCAAAUUGGGUUCUCCCACUUCAAGCCAAUUCACCAGACUCUGUUACUUAAAUCUACACCAAAGCUUGUAUGAAUUGGCUCACUACUACAUUGCCAAACAUUUAAAUUGAUGUAUUGCUUGACUGUAAAAUGGGAAUAACGUAGCCAUUAGAAGAGAUUGAAUUAAGGUCUAAGUGGUCUAGUGAGCUACGAGUGUCAUUUUCAGCACAUAAGUAAGAACUGUGCAAAGCAAAACACUUUGAAUAAGUUCUUUAGUACUUAACCUGUAUGUAGUUUAUUAUGAUGAAACUGAGAAUAUUAAUUAAAUU